UGAGGAAUAUUGCGCAAUGGGCGAAAGCCUGACGCAGCGACGCCGCGUGGAGGACGAAGGCCUUCGGGUCGUAAACUCCUGUCAAGAGGGACGAAAGCGUAGAGGAUGAAUAAGUUUCUGCGUUGACGGUACCUCUGGAGGAAGCCCCGGCUAACUCCGUGCCAGCAGCCGCGGUAAUACGGAGGGGGCCAGCGUUGUUCGGAAUUAUUGGGCGUAAAGGGCGCGUAGGCGGCUUGGUAAGUCGGUUGUGAAAUCCCUCGGCUCAACUGAGGAACUGCGACCGAAACUGCCAGGCUUGAGUCCCGGAGAGGGUAGCGGAAUUCCCAGUGUAGCGGUGAAAUGCGUAGAUAUUGGGAGGAACACCAGUGGCGAAGGCGGCUACCUGGACGGGUACUGACGCUGAGGCGCGAAAGCGUGGGGAGCAAACAGGAUUAGAUACCCCCGUAGUCC
rnacentral:rRNA from 1 species